GAUGAACGCUGGCGGCGUGCCUAAUACAUGCAAGUCGAGCGAACAGACGAGGAGCUUGCUCCUCUGACGUUAGCGGCGGACGGGUGAGUAACACGUGGAUAACCUACCUAUAAGACUGGGAUAACUUCGGGAAACCGGAGCUAAUACCGGAUAAUAUAUUGAACCGCAUGGUUCAAUAGUGAAAGACGGUUUUGCUGUCACUUAUAGAUGGAUCCGCGCCGCAUUAGCUAGUUGGUAAGGUAACGGCUUACCAAGGCAACGAUGGGUAGCCGACCUGAGAGGAGGACAGGGAACAAGGGGACGUAGAUACGGCGAAGAAGUGGAGGGGAGGAAGCAAUGAGGAAUAUAGCGGAAAGAGUGAAAGAAGGAAGUAACGGUGACGAGUGAGGGAGGAAGGAUGGCGGGUCGUAAACCACAGUAAGCAGGGAAGAAGAGAAAGGGACGGUAACUGCAGAAGAAGCGAAGGCUAAGUAGGUG
rnacentral:rRNA from 1 species